GUAUGAUUUGAUUUAAAAUACCCUCCGCCAAUUGAUAGAUUGGGUACAGUAUAUAUGUUCAUGAUUAGGUUUCACGUAGUUAUAAUACUACAGAGCCUAUAACCAACCAUUGAAUUAAUGAUAACUAAGGUACCUUACUAUAAGAUGGGCUCAUAGGAGUGUAUUGUACUGCAGACCCGACAGCCGCUGACGACCACUCGCACGCGCAUGCCACAUGUUACUAUGUGGAAACGACGGAGAAUCGCAAAAUAUAAAAUUUAAUUUUUACACGUUUUGGACCAAUAAGCGGUGGAAAAUUAGACUUA